rnacentral:rRNA from 1 species
GACGAACGCUGGCGGCGUGCUUAACACAUGCAAGUCGAACGGUGAAGCGCCUUCCUUUUUGGUGGGUGUGGAUGAGUGGCGAACGGGUGAGUAACACGUGAGUAACCUGCCCCCUUCUUCUGGAUAACCGCAUGAAAGUGUGGCUAAUACGGGAUAUUCUGGGUCUGUCGCAUGAUGGGUCUGGGAAAGAUAUUGUUUCGGUGGGGGAUGGGCUCGCGGCCUAUCAGCUUGUUGGUGGGGUGAUGGCCUACCAAGGCGGUGACGGGUAGCCGGCCUGAGAGGGUGGACGGUCACACUGGGACUGAGACACGGCCCAGACUCCUACGGGAGGCAGCAGUGGGGAAUAUUGCACAAUGGGCGCACGCCUGAUGCAGCGACGCCGCGUGAGGGAUGGAGGCCUUCGGGUUGUGAACCUCUUUCGCCAGUGAAGCAGGCCUGCCUCGUUUGUGGGUGGGUUGACGGUAGCUGGAUAAGAAGCGCCGGCUAACUACGUG